GACGAACGCUGGCGGCGUGCUUAACACAUGCAAGUCGAGCGGAGCGGCGGACGGGUGAGUAAUACCUAGGAAUCUGCCUGAUAGUGGGGGAUAACGUUCGGAAACGGACGCUAAUACCGCAUACUAUCAGAUGAGCCUAGGUCGGAUUAGCUAGUUGGUGAGGUAAUGGCUCACCAAGGCUACGAUCCGUAACUGGUCUGAGAGGAUGAUCAGUCACACUGGAACUGAGAAGCGGUCCAAACGCCUACGGGAGGCAGCAGUGGGGAAUAUUGGACGAUGGGCGAAAGCCUGAUCCAGCCAUGGCGCGUGUGUGAAGAAGGUCUUCGGAUUGUAAAGCACUUUAAGUUGGGAGGCGUUACCGACAGAAUAAGCACCGGCGAAGUCUGUGCCAGCAGCGGCGGUAAUUC
rnacentral:rRNA from 1 species